UACAGAGGUCCCAAGCGUUGUUCGGAUUCACUGGGCGUAAAGGGUGCGUAGGCGGUCGGGUAAGUCUGAUGUGAAAUCUCGGGGCUUAACCCCGAAACUGCAUUGGAUACUAUUCGGCUUGAGGAAUGGAGGGGAGACUGGAAUGCUCGGUGUAGCAGUGAAAUGCGUAGAUAUCGGGAGGAACACCAGUGGCGAAGGCGGCUGUCUGGGCCAGUUCUGACGCUGAGGCGCGAAAGCGUGGGGAGCAAACAGG
rnacentral:rRNA from 1 species